GAGUCUAAAAGACCAUUCCCAUUGGGCUGGGCUCUUAUUCACCCAUCUCUUCAAAUUUUCUCAUUUACAUUCUAACUUCACUAUCACCGGCGACGAAAACCCCUAAACAAAACCCCAGAAAAUAUGAGUCACCUGGCGAGCCUGCUGAAGCGCCCGAGUUCAGCAAUCAACUCAGCGAGCUCAUCUCUCCAACAAUGGCGGGGGAUCCGAGUUAGGGUUCGAAACGGUAACCUGGAGCAAGCGCUUUCCUUCAUGCAGAGAAAAAUGACUUCAAGUGGGAUCGAACGAAUGAUUAAGAAUGAACAAACUCACCACAUCAAGAAUUCUGAGAAGCGCGUUUUAGCCCGCAAAGCUCUUCAUCGUCGACUCCAAUCCCAGGACCUUGCUCGUAAGCUCAAAUCCAUCCUCAUCAAGAAAGUCAGGGGUCUAUGAGAUAAUGCGAUUGUUCUGGAAGGAGAAGCUGGCAGCUGCAUUUAGGCCUUCGUUGCUGUUGGGUUUCAAACUCGUGUAAUUGACUUCCUUCAAACACUGGACAAGUUGUCAAACUAGCUGUAAUCCUUGCAAAUCAUCAUUCAGUUUUUCUUGACUUUCACUGUUUAAUCAUCAACACAAUCUAUUCUGUUACAAGUUUUUGUCUCGCUAUUGAUCCUAGCCAAUUAUAGCUCGAUAGUUUAAAUGCUCAUGUAUUGUCUCCAUGUAUCAAACAAAAGUUGGAGGUAAUAAAUAUCCUGCGUGUAUUUGUAAGGUUCUCA